AAAUAUUAUCAAAAUAAUUGUAUGCUUCAAAAUAUUUAUCUAAUAAUGCUUCUUUUUCUUGCGCUUUUUCUUUUCUUUUCUCCCCUGUUGUUGUUGAACUCUUGUAUAUUUA
rnacentral:ribozyme from 12 species